ensembl:lncRNA
CUGGCCUGACCUAAUACUCUGUGUGCAUAUGUUCUGUAAAUAAAGACUAGGUCAGACUCCUUCCCUUGAAAACAUCCUCUGUCCGUGCCUGUGGAGGUGGUCAGGAGACCUUCCUAAGGAUGGAGACUGAAGGUUGUGUGAAAUUAUCCAAAAUCUUUGGCUUCACUGAGUUGGUGUUAAGGUCUCGCUUGACUGCAAAAAGGAGAAAGGAGGAGUGUGUGCAGGGAGUUCAGGUCCUGCUGUGGCUUCUUGGGAAGUGAGGUGAGUCGUGACAGCCUUCAGCACUGCUAAGCUCAGAGGUACAAAUGCACCUGGGUUUCCCUGCAGCCUUUAGGAGGAAUAAAGAAGGUAGGAUAACCAAGGUCAGCACCUCACUUCAAGCUAUCAGUUGGACUGCUUGCGGGUGAGAGAUAUUAAGUUACCAUGUGUGUGUAAUUUAUCCUUUGUGCUGGUGACCAAGUAAUCCAGUAAAAUGGCAGCAAAAAGGAUAGGGAAGUUAUGAAAAUUUGUGCUGUAAACUGAACUGGCAGGAUUACACUCAGAGCUGUGUUUGGUUAUCAGGUGUCACAUUGUCUUUAGAAAGCACCUGAGAGGGAUUUUACUCAAAGUUUUGCAAUAGAAGUCUCAGUGCCCGUAAGUGGGGCAGAGCGCGUCUUUUCAAACAGGGGCUGUGUUGUUCCCUAUCUGGGUGCUCUUCACAAGUUUUGGGCAUGCCGGUUCUGAUUAUGGCUUGCAUUUAUUAUUGCUUAAUGUAAUUAAUGCCAUUGUUUGAAAUUGAUUAAUUAUUAUUUAAUAUCAUAGUAUCUGUCAUUACAGCUUACUUCUACCUUGUAUUUAUUAUCCUCAUCUUUAUAGUAGUGUUGCUAAAUGCUUCCUAGACCUGGGAUGCAUGUGUGCCUCCUUUGAUAUCCUUAGGCACAUUAUCCAAUUGCAGAUUACAGGUGCUGACAACUGUCUGACCCAUUUUCUUUUGUUUGCAGCCUCAUUUUGCACCUUAACUUGGUUUUUGUGAAGUAAUUGAGCUAAAUACAGUAUUAUUUUAGUCUAAUUUAUACACAUUUGACAUUAUUAACGUUCUUGCUUUAUCUGGGUUAAUUCUCAAGGAUGGCAUCCUGGCAUUCUCUGCCAACAGUACUUUCUGUGUACUUAAUAUAGAAUUAGCCUUAAAGGAAUGGGUUUUGAAAACUUAUUUCCAAUCUUCUGCUUAUUUUUGCCGUGUCUGGUCUGCUGACUUUAAGAAAAUUGCACUUCAGAAGAAGGCUGCCUUGACAACACUCUGUACACUAUAUGAUGCCAAGGAAAUAAUUUGCUGCAGAACCCCUAAUACACACAGUCCUUGUUUUCUUUCUUUCUUUCUUUCUUUUGUUUUUUCCUAGGAUAUCUGCUAUGGACCUUCUGGCUGAUUUUUCUCUUGUAAGAUCCAGAGCGAUCAUUGCCUGUCGUGGUAUGUGGGGCUUCAAGCCAAGAAUAUCCACUAUUUUUGAAGCAUGAUCAUUACUGUUCAAAAUAGGCCUUUUUUCCAUGAUCUUAUAAGAUUUUGCCUCUUCUCUAAUAAGCUAAUUUUAUCCCUGCUUUGGCAUCUGUACUCCUUGGUGUUAUUUUGGUGUGUACUUUAUAUAUAUCAUAUAUAGCUCUGUGCACACAUGCAUCACUGUACGUGGUUUAUACAAGCUUGUCUUGUCUGCGCUGUCAGAGGGAAAUCAUUCUCACUUUUGUGAUGGGGGUGUCAGGUCAGAUGUGUCGAGUCCAUUGCCAGACCUUUCUGUGACCUGUCCCAGUUUGCUUCCCAUCAUCCCUAAAUGAUAUCAUUGCUUCACCCAGGCAAGAGAAGAUGUGUACCAUCCACCACUCUUGCUGUAUGAAAGCAAGGGGUGCCUUUAUGACCUGCAACUUCUGCUUCUCUGUCAGCUGUUACUGGAAUGAUGGCCUGUGUCACUGGAGACUGCUUCAGAAAGUUUGUGAGACAGACACUAAGUCUAGUGAAUGGAAGAAAAUAUUUGUCACUGUCUUUAUUUGUCACUGCACCCACAGUCCUUAUUUCUAGAAAAAAAAAAAAAAGACUUAAGUUGUACAGCCAUCUUCUCUUCCUUCUUGUCCUCCAUCCUCACAUCUUAUUUUAAUGAGUAAUUUUGAAUGGAUCUGCAUCAAGAUGGAAUUUUGCCUUGCUUUGGAUAGUAUUCAACUAAGUAACUAAAAUUUCCUUCUGAGGUAGUGGGGUAGGGAUGGAUUUGGAUGGUGCUAGGACCUUGUGCUCCAACUUAAUAACAGGAGAAGAGGAAUCCAACAGCACCAAUGUGUUCUUGGGGCAGAAAAGGAGCCAGAUUUAACCCUAAGGUCAAGUGAUGGAAGAAAAGUGAUCCCUCAUGGUCAACUCCAACCUGAAGGAGCCCAAGGAGCAUGAUGACCAUUUGAAUGACUCAUCUUUUGGUCCUGUUCAGAAGAUGAUGUUCUUAUUGCAUGGACAUUAAUGACCUUUGUUUCAUUGCCUUGUCUUUAAGGACUCAAGAUGGUGUUUGCAGAGGAGAUAGAGACCUGGUCUGCCAUGACCGUGUCAGUUUUAUGUAUUUGCAUAAUGUAAAUGCCAGCCCAGCUGAAUUGUGACAGGUGUAUUUGCUGUAGGCAAAUAAAGGUUUUCAAGAAGCUCUGGAGUUUCUAGUUUGAUAACCUGAGAAUGGGUACUUAAAAAGGUAUGUUUUGUGGGGUGACAUGGAGGGUUAGUUCCUUUGAGACAGAAGAAAGGUAAAAGGAUGAAAUUAUUACAACCAAAUUUUCCAUGUACCCUGACUACCAGUUUUGAGUUUGUCAGCCUAGGGAGGUGUUAUGCCUAAGCAGAGCGUCAGAGUCUCAUACAAGUGCCUUAGUGUGUUCAAUUUUACCUUGAUUUUACAUCAAAUUACUGUGUUGUGGUUUAACCUGGCAGGCAGCUCAGUUCCACACAGCCAUUUUCUCACCUCUCCCUCCCAGUGUGAUGGGGGAGGGAGAGAAUUAGAAAAAAAAAAAAAAAAGCACCACCACGAAGUAGAGUUUGUGAGUUAAGAUAAAACUGUUUAAUAAGACAGAAAAGGAAGAGGAAAAAAAUAGUAGUAAAUAACCACAAAACAAGUGAUACACAACACAAUUAAUUGCUUACCACCCACUGGCAGAUGCUCAGCCAGUCCCUGAACAGCUGCUACCCCCCCAGACAACUCCCCACUGUUCUUCAAGUUUUUUUGCAUGAUGCCAUAUGGUGUGGAAUAUCCCUUUGGCCAGCGUAGCUCAGCUGUCCUCGUUCUGCCCCCACCCAGCUCCUUGUGCCCUCACAGCCCCCUUCACUGGCAGGACAGUACAAGAAACUGAAAAGCUGAAACAUCCCUGGCUCUGAGCAGCACUGCUCAGCAAUAACUGAAAUGCUGUGAAUAAAUGUUCCAGCUGAAACCAGGACAUGCUGGACUGCAGAAAGAUGCCACUCUUGCUUUGAGGAGCACUGAAGCUUGCUACCAGUUAGUCAGAUUAGCACCUGUGGUCCUCAUCCUCAGUACUGGGGCUGUUACUGUUGAUUUCAUCAAAACAUUCUUUUCUGCAAAGAAAGGAGUCCUUACAGUUUGAUAGAGGCCACAGAGGUGUUAAAACGUUGAGCCUGAGGUUUUCACUUAUUGCCACCUUAUUCAGUGAGAGCUCUGCUGAAGCUGAAAAGGUUUCAGCAGUGUGAAAUUGCCGAAGGAAAGGAAACACUCAACAUUUUCAGCUCCAUAGUCACCCAAGCCAUAGCUAGUUCCGGAAGGGUCGAUGAGUGUAUGGACAUGAGUAAGCCUUCUGAGACUAGCGUGGGCUCUAUCAGACCUAGCAGGGGUUUCCCAGGUCAGACCCGAAGCUCUCCACUCGAGAUCUGAAUAUCACUGCAGCUGCAUCUACAGGAAGGCUUGGGCUAACACUGUACAGUCAAAAAUGUCUAUUGUUCCCUUAAUAGACAAAGCUAUAACAGGAAAAAUGUCUUGUGUCAACCUGGCCUUUGAAAUACAAAUGAGUAAGAGCAACCUCACUUUUAAAUGUCAUCAUGUGCUUUGUGCACUCACUUUGUAAUUUGCUUGCUUGCUUUUCUGCGGUUACUGCAUUUCAGGGCUUUUGCUUCAAAUGAUGUUUCAACAAAAGGGAAAGGAGAGGAAAAGGCAUUUCUGGUGUUGCAUGGGGAGUUCUGUGGGGUUGCACUGACUUUGCUUCUACUUUUAAGCAUAAGGACAGGCAUUUUGUUCCUAUAAUGAGCCAGCUGGAAAUACCGGCAGCCUUGUUUUCUUAUUUCCUGAAGUUUGAGAGAAAGGGGCAUGAAGGAGCACUGUGCAUCUCUGCUUUGCAAACUUGGCUUUUUCUAUAUGCCCCACAUCCGAUUCAGAGUCUUUUGGGUCCUGGUGGCUUGCAGUGACAUAAUGAAGCUUCCUCUUGAUGAGGAUGGCCAUCCAGCGCUUGCAGCAUAGCAUGUGCCAUCCAAGCACCCUGCUUGCCAAAUCGCCUUGUGCUUUUGUUCACUGCCUUCUGCAUGGGGCACCUUUGGGGUUUGCUUAAAGUCCUGCAUCUGCUUGGUGGACAUCUGUUCCUUCACAGUGAAUCUUGUAGUGAGUGUGUGCAGAACUGACUCUGGAAUUGGGUAGGUCCUUCUGCAGGGAAGCUGGUUAUGGAAAUUUGGGGUUACACUGUGAUGGGCUGACUGGUUUGGGUGUUUUUGAUCUGUUUGUGAUUAAAUCUGAUGGUGACAAUAAAAACAGAACAAAAAAUAACAUGAAAAGUGAAUAAAAGUCCCAGAAGAAUAUUUUGGGUUGUCAUUGGAUCUCCAUCCACAGAAAUUUAAUUGUUUUAAAGUAAUUCAGUGACUAGCUUGAGUUGGCUUUGCAGCCUCCUGUCUGAGCAAUGGACAUUUCUGUGGAAUUAAUCAGAAAGAACUGCAGUUUCUUUUACCAUGGGCAGAAAUAGCCCUCAGACUGAGGACAAUGUGUAAUAGCAAUGACUGUAGCGGUUGACUUAGCCAGAAAUGCACAGCCAGUAAUAAACAGAAAAAUCAUCAGGAAAUAUGUACUGAUGAAUCUGUGCUGAAAAUUGCUCAGAGCUUUACUGUGAUGAGUGGGUAAGGGGGUUGGAAAGAGCAGUGGGAGUUUUGGGGUGAGGUGCUUAGACUGGAGGCAUACUGUGAGGUGGGAUGGGAUUGGGUGGGACAAGACAGCAUGGCAUGGGAUGGGAUAGCAGGGGAUGGCAUGGCAUGGCACGGUAUAGGAUGGCAUUGGAUGGGGCAGGGUAGGAUGGGAUGUCCAUGUACAUGCAGGUGAGUGGCAGAUCCACAGUUCAUUGGUCCUGGGAUUCAGCAGUUUGCUGAGUUGAAGACAAUGCUUGGACAGUCAUUGGUACUGCUCACACUGUUUUAAUUUGAUAAGGUAGAUGAUCUGUUUUGAAAACAAGAACGGGAGGAGUGGACGUCUUUUCAUCACUUUGUUGAUGUUGAAAUACCAUGUUGCAAUAUCUUAUGUUUUAAGAUAUCUAAAUGUACUUCACAAGUUGACUUUGUAUUUUUCGUGUUUGUCUGCCACUCAAAGCGAGCUACUUUUCAAGUAGCUGUUGAAACUCCCCAGGCUGCCCUGGAACCUCUGCAUCAUCCCAGCAGCAGCCCUGGGCAGGAAGGAGAUGCUCUCCGCUUUCAGGUGGCCCAGAAAAGGGCUCAUCCUACUCUCAUGGCUCAGCUGGUGCAAAACUAUGUUCCUUCCAUGAGGGAGACUGAAUUCAUCCUGUCAGGUGUCUAGGAAGGGCUGAUAUGAGCAGCAUCGUGUUUCCACUUUGUUUUAGCACCCACAGCCUUGAAGACCUCGUAUCUUGACACUUUCGGAAUUGGUUGGUGAUGUGCACAGUGGGCUCUCAGCUCAUUCUCCAAUUUUUCUGCCUUUCAGUGAAGAUUUUCCCCUCUCUGCUUUAAGCAUAUCACUUAAAACCACAAACAGUCUGGUGAUGUGGAGCAGGCUGCUGGUGCUCAUCCCCGUGGCACUUAAAGCACAGAGGAUGGUGUAAGUGGGAGAAACUCAUUGAAUCAUAAAAUGGCUUAGGUUGGAAGGGACAUUAAAGAUCAUCUAGUUCCUGCCAUGUGCAGGGCUGCACCGCACCAGCUCAGGCUGCCCAGGGCCCCAUCCAUCCUGGCCUUGAAUGCCUCCAGGGAUGGGGCAUCCACAGCUUUUUUGGGCCAACCAUUCCAGUGCCUCAUCACCCUCUGUGUAAAGAAUUUCUUCCUCACAGUGCCAUUUCUGGGGUGAAGCCCCAGCCCUGCCAGUCACCACAGCCUCCUGCAAGGCUCCUGCACACAAAAAGCUGAGAUUCGGUGUGGCAAAACAGGGAGUUGUGAAGAGGCUUGGGGACAGCAAGUCUGUGCCAGCUCACAGUUUUGUAUAAGUUAAAUAAAUGUUGUCUUUUGAAGGAAGGUGUUGAAAUGCUCCCGUGGCCUGUUAAAAACAGUGUUGCGUUGGGUGAAGAGCUGCCAUCCCCUUUUUCCAUUUCCUUCUCCAUUUCUCUUUCCAUUUCCUUUUCUGUUUCCAUUAAUAACUUUAAGGUUUUUUUUUUGCUCCACGCUUUUUUAACUUUUUGUUCACUUACGACUUUCAAGGUGUGCUUUUACUGAGUUUAAAUGCUUUGCCUUUGCUUUCUUGAAAAUCACAGUCAGUAGAAUGACUGCUGUUAUCUCAGGUUUCCCCGGGCCUUCCCAUGGGCUGCUUUUGAUUUCAAAGGUACAUUUGUUGAAAAAAGGAAGAUUUCCACAAAAAUGCCCACUGCACCUCCAACUCGUUCACACAGGGCUCCUGUUGUGCAGCUGUCCUGUUUUACCGAGCAGCUGGAGUUACAGGCUGAUUAAAGGAGUAGGAAACCUCUUUCAAUUUAUUUCUGCUGCAUGUAUGUGACUUUGGGUGUGCUCGGUUUUUGGGUGAGCUCUGCAGGGAAAACGUGUACUUAACGUGACUGAACCUCCUCUUUUGUAAGUUGAGAAUUGAUCCAAAUUUACCACUUGCUUCUUCUUUGAGAGCUUUUGGUAAUGGGGAUUAUUUAAAUCCAUGUUUUUCCUUCAGUUAGUUUUGCUCUGGGGUGGAGCUCAUCCAAUGCAAUCCUCCCUGGGGGCGAGGUGGGAAUGAGAGGGGUGCUGGGCACAUCACUUUGUCACCAUGCACCUCAUGAUCCUCAGCACUGCAUGCUGCUCCUGCUCAGCACUGCCCACCUUCGCUCCUUGUGCUAACAUAGCUGCCUUUCAGCUUAGGCUGCACAGCACCUCUCCAUAUACUUUUUUUUUUUAACAUGAAUUUGCAAGGGAAGGUUGAUUGAAGUUGGAUCCAAGGCUCUUCCCUGUUGUCAUGUUGCAGGAGAGCAACUUGAGCUUCAUCAAGGCUUCUGCGAGUGAAAAGUGUUAGGUCUCAGUGGCUGCAUUUGGUUCAGAAGCAGAAAAUGGGAGCAGACCUGAGUCUGAUGGAUCUGGCAGCCCAUGAACUCCCCCCUUUACAUGCUUUCCUUGUGUAAUUACAGUAAUGGAAGUCACUGACACUGUCCAGCUGAAGAGGAGCUGCAUGGUUUUGCUGGGCAUUGCAGGCACUUCCUAAUGCAUCAGCGCCCAUGAGUCUCGUGGGUGCAGCCUUCACCCUGUCCCUACCGAGCAGGCUCCAGUCUGGCUGCUCCCAUCUAAUAGCUGGGAAAUUAGGGCUGGGAGCAAGCAAGAGCUGCUUGCAGUGACGCAGAGGGCUUCAGUGGUGAAGCAGAGGCUGAAACUCAAGCAAGGAGCCUAUAGAUGAAGUGCUGAGCACUUCACAAUGGCAUGAUGCACUUCCAUAACCUUGCAGAGUACUUGUGUAAUUUUUCAGAUAGAUGAAGCAGUAAGUAAGCCAUCUGUGACCCCACCAAAACAAUUUCCAAAGGCAGUAGUAUUAAAGGAAAAUAGAAAAAUCAAACAUUGAAGUGUAUGGAGGUCUGCCUCAGGCAGUUCUCAGUGCCUACAGGGCAGGGAGCUGGGGAGAGGAGGAGGUUAGGUGGGUUACAGUCCAGAGAAUGAUAUUGAAAUACAUGAGCCAUCCCUGGGAAAGGUGGAUCUGCAAGCACUGGGUGAAAGAGCAUGAGGAGGGGGGUGGGUUAGGUGGGGGUGUGGAUUCCAGGAAAGGGUUUAUUUCUUAGAUUGCAGAUACUUAAUGCUAUUAGCAUCCAAAUGGCUCCCGCUGGUCUUUGAAGUCAGCAUCUCAUUGAGAAGUAAAGAGCAAAAGAGGUGUGGGGAAUAAUGCAUUUAUUUCAUUUCUGGCUGGUGAAUAUAUUUCUUUGCAAUGUUGAGUUAGCAACGAGACUGUGCAUGGUUUAUUUUAGGAGCACUGGCUCUUCAAAACAUGAGGUAUUUAUCACUUCGGUUGUUUUUUUUUCCUGUUUCAUUAUGUUUUUUUGGUUUUAUUUGUUUUUUGUUUUUGUUUUUUUGUGUGUGUGUGUGUGUCUUAGUACUCAAACUUGCUUUAUACAGAAGACAGCAGAAAGCCACAAAAUUGGAGCCUCAGUAAUUUCUUUACACCCACCAUUUGCCAGUGUUCUGGAUUGGAAACCAACUGCAGCAGCUACUGAGAGUCUCAUUCCUCCUCCACGUGAACCUCCUUCCAGGGAACUGUGAAAAUUCCCACUUCCAUCUCCUUCGCGUACUGGGGUUUCAUGACCAUUAAAACCCGUUCCUGGAACCAUGGGAUGGCCCCACAGCAUGCUUUUGAUCCAGCUCAGAUGUGGGCUUCUCCGUGGGAUGAGUGCCCAGCAAGUCCAGCCAUCAAAACCUACCUAGACCCUAUGGAGCUGCAUGCUCUGACUCAUCCCUACUGAAAUGUCCCCACACCCUGCCCCAGGGCUGUGCAUUCCUGGGCACUGGUUGCCUGUGCCUCAUGAGGUCUUUCUACCAAACUCAUCACUUUGGCUUGGUUCUGCAUCACCACACUGAAACUGUGCAAACUGCAAGCCACCAAACUGUACCUUUGAGCCACCUCACGGGGCACAUGUCCCACAGUGGCUUGGCUGCUGGACCACUCAGGGUGGGAUGCGCAACACACUGCAAGGAAUUUAGUUCAGCACUGGUGCUGGUAGAGCACGGAGCUGGGAGAGCAGCAUCCCUAAUUCAGGUUGAUGCGUGGCUGUGUUGGAGCCCUUUCUGUAAACCACUUCAAAGGGCGUUUUGCUGUUUUGUCUCUUCAUUCACUGUUCUUUCCCACUUGUGCAUUUUGUGCAAUUUUAAAAACUUCUUGCAUGUAUUCCAUUCCUCUUAUCCUAGACCAAGUGGCUAUCUUCUCUUCUUUCUUAGCUGGCUUGUUCAUGCAGAGGCAAGGAGUAGCAAAACAUGUUUUUCCUUCUGAAAAGAGAGAAAAUAAAUGUUUGAUACCUGAUAAUAGUUUUUGUUGUUUGUCUGAGGCAGCUUGAAAUCCUUAGGGAAAAUCAGAAUUGUUCCAUUAGGAUGAGCUGCUUGCAAGCAUCCUGCCAAACUGGAACAGCCCUUCAAGCUGUACUGAAAUGAAUUCAAACCCUCCACAGAUAAGCACAACAUAGGGUAUAAUUUUACUUCAACAGAAGGAAAAAGUCCAGUACAUCAUCUCCUUUUAUUUCAGUGUCUGGUUGUCUUGACACCCAUGUACAUAUAGAAAUAUGCUUUCUUCACAUGUAUUUACUGAGGCACUCAAGCUAAAUGCAAUUGAGCCUGGUGGUUGCUGGGAUGGUUCAUCGUGCACGUCCAGGUGCCAUCUGUACACAGGGAAGCUGGCAAUGCAGUAAAUGGCUGUUUUCCCUUCUUUAAGAGAUGCAUGUUGGGGUUGACUUUUGAUGAUCACUUAGGAUCUUAAGCUUUUGUGCUUUUGCAUUUACCUUUGUGUUGGCUAAAUUUCAGUUCACUUACUUCCCUGUGAACAAUUCUUUUUUUGUUGAAUAAACUAUUCCUUGCAAACCAUAA